GCCGAAGUGGCGGAACUGGAAUACGCGUACGGUUCAGAGCCGUAUCCCGCAAGGGUUGUGGGUUCGAGUCCCACCUUCGGCA
rnacentral:tRNA from 1 species